UUCUUUCAGGGAAACUUACAUGGAUUUAGUAGACCAAGACAGAUGCUAUAAUGUUGUUUCCAACACAAUUACACUACUGGUAUAUGGCUACUUAAUUGGUGCUAGGAUGGGUACUCUUUGGCCCAAAUUUUUUGUCUCUAGAACCCACUGCUAACUCAGGCACAAUUCUUGCUUGACUUUAGACCACAUGGAUGAGGCUAAC